AGAUGCUGAGCGCUGAAAUUCUCAUCCGCCACACACAACAUGGCGGCUUCCUGGACCCGCGCCCAAUUUUCGCUUCCGGGAUGGAAGCUACGUCAUUUCCCCCUCUGUUGCCCUAGCGCCCCUUGGAAGCCAAGAAUAUGAGGAAGUCUUCUUCCUUCGCGCCUUCUUCUUCCUUACGCUCCAGGGCAGCCUGACAGAGCCGCUCGAAGGCUCUGCUGGCCGCGGCUAGCCGGGUGCAGCAGAAGUCUCAGGUAGCUGAGAAGUUCAUGGAAUCUUCUUAUUUGCUACACCUUUCACUACUGCUUGUGAUAUAGUGCAGGGUUGGGAUGUGCAGACAUUUCUCAAGUGCACUGUGUACCUACACAGCAUGCUGCAAUUUGGCUACUGAAGUCAAGAGAAACUGGUUUGAACAACUACUGAGUGUAACAUAGGAAGCGCAUUUCAUUUGAUAACAGGAACACAGCUUUUGUGCUAAUAAAAUGCUUUGAAAAUUA
rnacentral:lncRNA from 1 species